AGUGAACGCUGGCGGUAGGCCUAACACAUGCAAGUCGAACGGCAGCACAGUAAGAGCUUGCUCUUACGGGUGGCGAGUGGCGGACGGGUGAGGAAUACAUCGGAAUCUACUUUUUCGUGGGGGAUAACGUAGGGAAACUUACGCUAAUACCGCAUACGACCUACGGGUGAAAGCAGGGGAUCUUCGGACCUUGCGCGAUUGAAGGAGCCGAUGUCGGAUUAGCUAGUUGGCGGGGUAAAGGCCCACCAAGGCGACGAUCCGUAGCUGGUCUGAGAGGAUGAUCAGCCACACUGGAACUGAGACACGGUCCAGACUCCUACGGGAGGCAGCAGUGGGGAAUAUUGGACAAUGGGCGCAAGCCUGAUCCAGCCAUACCGCGUGGGUGAAGAAGGCCUUCGGGUUGUAAAGCCCUUUUGUUGGGAAAGAAGAGCAGCAGGUUAAUACCCCGCUGUUCUGACGGUACCCAAAGAAUAAGCACCGGCUAACUUCGUG
rnacentral:rRNA from 1 species